rnacentral:rRNA from 1 species
AGUGGCGAACGGGAGAGUAAUAUAUCGGAACGUGCCCAGUAGUGGGGGAUAGCCCGGCGAAAGCCGGAUUAAUACCGCAUACGACCCAUGGGUGAAAGCGGGGGAUCGCAAGACCUCGCGCUAUUGGAGCGGCCGAUAUCAGAUUAGCUUGUUGGUGGGGUAAAAGCCUACCAAGGCGACGAUCUGUAGCUGGUCUGAGAGGACGACCAGCCACACUGGGACUGAGACACGGCCCAGACUCCUACGGGAGGCAGCAGUGGGGAAUUUUGGACAAUGGGCGCAAGCCUGAUCCAGCCAUGCCGCGUGCGGGAAGAAGGCCUUCGGGUUGUAAACCGCUUUUGUCAGGGAAGAAACGGCUCCUACUAAUACUGGGGGCUAAUGACGGUACCUGAAGAAUAAGCACCGGCUAACUACGUGCCAGCAGCCGCGGUAAUACGUAGGGUGCAAGCGUUAAUCGGAAUUACUGGGCGUAAAGCGUGCGCAGGCGGCUUUGCAAGACAGAUGUGAAAUCCCCGGGCUCAACCUGGGAACUGCAUUUGU